rnacentral:lncRNA from 1 species
AAUAAACUGCGUUUAAAGGGGCACUAGCUGUCAAAUUCAUGGUAACCAAUUUGACACAAAUUCUCAUAUUUGGUUUAUAACAAUGUAAAACAUUUAUCCAAACUAUCAAAAGUCUAAAAUAAACAGUUUACAGAGCAUGGGGUAGAUAAUAUAUAGGUUCGUUUCGUGUGUAUUUUAGCCCAGACGCCAUCUAAUUAACUAUCGAUUUGACCUCAGAUGACCAUAUAAGCGAUGUAAACAAAAAUAAAGAUACGAAUAGAUUAAACCAACACGUGCA